rnacentral:rRNA from 1 species
CAUAGCCUGUGGAAAUUUAUCACAGGUCAUUACUGCUCAAUGUUAAUUAUAAAUGGCCGUGGUAUAUAUGACCAUGCUAAGGUAGCAUAAUAAUUUGUUUAAUAAUUUUAGACUGGAAUGAAUGUAAUCACACGUAUCAAAUGUCUCCUGGACUCUGGCUUGAACUUCCACUAUAGGUGAAAAUGCCUAUACUUUACAAUGGGACGAGAAGACCCUUAGAAUUUACUUUAAAUUUCACUGGGGCGGUGGUAGCUUGCAUCAGCUAUAUUAAUACAAGCCGGGACUUAUCAAGCGUGAAAAAAUUACCUAAGGGAUAACAGCAUAAUUGAAUAAAUUAGAUUGUGACCUCGAUGUUGGACUAGGGAACCUUUGGGCCAGAAGCUCAUGGGGUGGGUUCUGUUCGAACUAAAAAUUCCUACGUGAU